UACGUAGGGUGCGAGCGUUGUCCGGAAUUAUUGGGCGUAAAGAGCUCGUAGGCGGUCUGUCGCGUCGGUCGUGAAAACUUGGGGCUUAACCCUGAGCUUGCGGUCGAUACGGGCAUGACUGGAGUUCGGCAGGGGAGACUGGAAUUCCUGGUGUAGCGGUAAAAUGCGCAGAUAUCAGGAGGAACACCGGUGGCGAAGGCGGGUCUCUGGGCCGAUACUGACGCUGAGGAGCGAAAGCGUGGGGAGCGAACAGG
rnacentral:rRNA from 1 species